AUCUCUUCAGAUCUGUCGCUGCGA
rnacentral:siRNA from 1 species